ACGAACGCUGGCGGCGUGGCUAAGGCAUGCAAGUCGAGCGAAUCUAUUUGAAGGGUAACUGGAGAAUAGAUUAGCGGCGAACGGGUGAGGAAAUACAUGGACAACAUACCCUAGACUCAGGGAUAGCGGCGGGGAAACCCUUUGCGAAAGUGCCGGUAAUACCUGAUGACCCCACGGGAUCGCAUGGUCUUGUGGGCAAAGUUACGGCGGUCUGGGAUUGGUUCAUGUCCUAUCAGCUAGUUGGUGAGGUAACGGCUCACCAAGGCAACGACGGGUACCGGGCGUGAGAGCGUGACCCGGCACAUCGGAACUGAGAUACGGUCCGGACACCUACGGGUGGCUGCAGCAACGAAUAUUCCGCAAUGGACGAAAGUCUGACGGAGCGACGCCGCGUGCAGGAUGAAGUCUUUCGGGAUGUAAACUGCUGUCGGGGGCGAGGAAGAAAGUGACCAGCCUCAAAGGAAGCAUCGGCUAACUCCGUGCCAGCAGCCGCGGGUAAUACGGAGGAUGCAAGCGUUGUCGGAAUCACUGGGCUUAAAGCGCGUGUAGGCGGAGUGUUAGGUGUCGUGUGAAAUCCCCGGUCUCAACCCGGGAACUGCGCGGCAUACCGGCAUUCUUGAGGCAGGUAGAGGUAAUUGGAACGACGGGUGGAGCGGUGAAAUGCGUAGAUAUCCGUGGAACGCCGGCGACGAAGGUGAGUUACUGGACCUGUCCUGACGCUGAGACGCGAAAGCGUGGGUAGCAACAGGAUUAGAUACCCUGGUAGUCCACGCCGUAAACGAUGCGCACUAGGUAUGGGAGCCUCUGACGGCGACUGUGCCGAAGCAAAAGUGCCUAAGUGCGCCGCCUGGGGAGUACGGCCGCAAGGCUAAAACUCAAAGGAAUUGACGGAGGCUCACAAAAGCGGUGGAGCAUGUGGAUUAAUUCGAAGCAACGCGCAGAACCUUACCUGGGUUUGACAUGCACGGAUGCUCUCUUGGAAACAGGAGUAGGCUGCCUUCGGGUGAAACGUGCACAGGUGCUGCAUGGCUGUCGUCAGCUCGUGCUGUGAAGUGUCGGGUUAAGUCCCUUAACGAGCGAAACCCCUGUCUUAGUUGCCAGCGGGUCAUGCCGGGAACUCUAACGAGACCGCCGGCCGUCAAGCCGGAGGAAGGCGGGGACGACGUCAAGUCAUCAUGGCCUUAUGCCCAGGGUGUCACACGUGCUACAAUGGGUGGAACAGAGCGACGCGAGACCGCAAGGUGGAGCAAAAUCGCACAAAUCCAUCCUCAGUUCAGAUUGGAGUCUGCAACCCGACUCCAUGAAGUUGGAAUCGCUAGUAAUCGCGAAUCAGCCACGUCGCGGUGAAUGUGUUCCUGAGCCUUGUACACACCGCCCGUCAAGUCAUGGGAGUUGGGAGUAGCCCGAAGUCCGCUUAGCUAACUGCAAAGAAGCGGCGGCCGACGGUAAGACCCGAUGACUGGGACU
rnacentral:rRNA from 1 species